rnacentral:rRNA from 1 species
AUUGAACGCUGGCGGAAUGCUUAACACAUGCAAGUCGCGCGGCCAGCAAUGGCAGCGGCGGACGGGUGAGUAACGCGUAGGAAUGUGUCCAGAGGUGGGGGACAACCCCGGGAAACUGGGGCUAAUACCGCAUAUGUCCUGAGGGACAAAGCAGUAAUGCGCCUUUGGAGCAGCCUGCGUCCGAUUAGGUAGUUGGUGGGGUAAUGGCCUACCAAGCCUGCGAUCGGUAGCUGGUCUGAGAGGACGAUCAGCCACACUGGGACUGAGACACGGCCCAGACUCCUACGGGAGGCAGCAGUGGGGAAUAUUGGACAAUGGGGGCAACCCUGAUCCAGCAAUGCCGCGUGUGUGAAGAAGGUCUUCGGAUCGUAAAGCACUUUCGGCGGGGACGAUGAUGACGGUACCCGCAGAAGAAGCCCCGGCUAACUUCGUGCCAGCCGCCGCAGUAAAAC